rnacentral:ncRNA from 1 species
GUAACGGUCACCGCAAGGUCCCUGCCAUACGGGCAGGCUGUCUUACGCGGCUCGCGCGUCGAGUCGCAACCCGGCAACGCCGGCUUCAACAAACCCGCCGGACUUCGAUCCGGC